rnacentral:rRNA from 1 species
GGUUAAGCGACUAAGCGUACACGGUGGAUGCCCUGGCAGUCAGAGGCGAUGAAGGACGUGCUAAUCUGCGAAAAGCGUCGGUAAGGUGAUAUGAACCGUUACAGCCGGCGAUGUCCGAAUGGGGAAACCCAGUGCAAUUCGUUGCACUAUCGUUUGAUGAAUACAUAGUCAAACGAGGCGAACCGGGGGAACUGAAACAUCUAAGUACCCCGAGGAAAAGAAAUCAACCGAGAUUCCCCCAGUAGCGGCGAGCGAACGGGGAGCAGCCCGGAGUCUGAAUCAGCUUGUGUGUUAGUGGAAGCGUCUGGAAAGUCGCAGGGUACAGGGUGAUACUCCCGUACACUAAAACACACAGGUUGUGAACUCGAAGAGUAGGGCGGGACACGUGGUAUCCUGUCUGAAUAUGGGGGGACCAUCCUCCAAGGCUAAAUACUCCUGACUGACCGAUAGUGAACCAGUACCGUGAGGGAAAGGCGAAAAGAACCCCGGCGAGGGGAGUGAAAAAGAACCUGAAACCGUGUACGUACAAGCAGUAGGAGCCCACUUGUUGGGUGACUGCGUACCUUUUGUAUAAUGGGUCAGCGACUUAUAUUCUGUAGCAAGGUUAACCGUAUAGGGGAGCCGCAGGGAAACCGAGUCUUAACUGGGCGUUAAGUUGCAGGGUAUAGACCCGAAACCCGGUGAUCUAGCCAUGGGCAGGUUGAAGGUUGGGUAACACUAACUGGAGGACCGAACCGACUAAUGUUGAAAAAUUAGCGGAUGACUUGUGGCUGGGGGUGAAAGGCCAAUCAAACCGGGAGAUAGCUGGUUCUCCCCGAAAGCUAUUUAGGUAGCGCCUCGUGAACUCAUCUUCGGGGGUAGAGCACUGUUUCGGCUAGGGGGUCAUCCCGACUUACCAACCCGAUGCAAACUACGAAUACCGAAGAAUGUUAUCACGGGAGACACACGGCGGGUGCUAACGUCCGUCGUGAAGAGGGAAACAACCCAGACCGCCAGCUAAGGUCCCAAAGUCAUGGUUAAGUGGGAAACGAUGUGGGAAGGCCCAGACAGCCAGGAUGUUGGCUUAGAAGCAGCCAUCAUUUAAAGAAAGCGUAAUAGCUCACUGGUCGAGUCGGCCUGCGCGGAAGAUGUAACGGGGCUAAACCAUGCACCGAAGCUGCGGCAGCGACACUAUGUGUUGUUGGGUAGGGGAGCGUUCUGUAAGCCGUUGAAGGUGGCCUGUGAGGGUUGCUGGAGGUAUCAGAAGUGCGAAUGCUGACAUAAGUAACGAUAAUGCGGGUGAAAAACCCGCACGCCGGAAGACCAAGGGUUCCUGUCCAACGUUAAUCGGGGCAGGGUGAGUCGACCCCUAAGGCGAGGCCGAAAGGCGUAGUCGAUGGGAAACAGGUUAAUAUUCCUGUACUCGGUGUUACUGCGAAGGGGGGACGGAGAAGGCUAUGUUGGCCGGGCGACGGUUGUCCCGGUUUAAGCAUGUAGGCGGAUGUUCCAGGUAAAUCCGGAACGUCACUAACGCUGAGGUGUGAUGACGAGGCACUACGGUGCUGAAGUGACAAAUGCCCUGCUUCCAGGAAAAGCCUCUAAGCAUCAGGUAACAUCAAAUCGUACCCCAAACCGACACAGGUGGUCAGGUAGAGAAUACCAAGGCGCUUGAGAGAACUCGGGUGAAGGAACUAGGCAAAAUGGUGCCGUAACUUCGGGAGAAGGCACGCUGAUGGUAGGUGAAGCGACUUGCUCGUGGAGCUGAAAUCAGUCGAAGAUACCAGCUGGCUGCAACUGUUUAUUAAAAACACAGCACUGUGCAAACACGAAAGUGGACGUAUACGGUGUGACGCCUGCCCGGUGCCGGAAGGUUAAUUGAUGGGGUUAUCCGUAAGGAGAAGCUCUUGAUCGAAGCCCCGGUAAACGGCGGCCGUAACUAUAACGGUCCUAAGGUAGCGAAAUUCCUUGUCGGGUAAGUUCCGACCUGCACGAAUGGCGUAAUGAUGGCCAGGCUGUCUCCACCCGAGACUCAGUGAAAUUGAACUCGCUGUGAAGAUGCAGUGUACCCGCGGCAAGACGGAAAGACCCCGUGAACCUUUACUAUAGCUUGACACUGAACACUGGUCCUUGAUGUGUAGGAUAGGUGGGAGGCUUUGAAGUGUGGACGCCAGUCUGCAUGGAGCCAUCCUUGAAAUACCACCCUUUAAUGGCUGGUGUUCUAACGUGGGCCCCUGAUCGGGGUUGCGGACAGUGUCUGGUGGGUAGUUUGACUGGGGCGGUCUCCUCCUAAAGAGUAACGGAGGAGCACGAAGGUCAGCUAAUCCUGGUCGGACAUCAGGAGGUUAGUGCAAUGGCAUAAGCUGGCUUGACUGCGAGCGUGACGGCGCGAGCAGGUGCGAAAGCAGGUCAUAGUGAUCCGGUGGUUCUGAAUGGAAGGGCCAUCGCUCAACGGAUAAAAGGUACUCCGGGGAUAACAGGCUGAUACCGCCCAAGAGUUCAUAUCGACGGCGGUGUUUGGCACCUCGAUGUCGGCUCAUCACAUCCUGGGGCUGAAGUAGGUCCCAAGGGUAUGGCUGUUCGCCAUUUAAAGUGGUACGCGAGCUGGGUUUAGAACGUCGUGAGACAGUUCGGUCCCUAUCUGCCGUGGGCGCUGGAGAAUUGAGGGGGGCUGCUCCUAGUACGAGAGGACCGGAGUGGACGCAUCACUGGUGUUCGGGUUGUCAUGCCAAUGGCAUUGCCCGGUAGCUAAAUGCGGAAGAGAUAAGUGCUGAAAGCAUCUAAGCACGAAACUUGCCCCGAGAUGAGUUCUCCCUGACUCCUUGAGAGUCCUGAAGGAACGUUGAAGACGACGACGUUGAUAGGCCGGGUGUGUAAGCGCAGCGAUGCGUUGAGCUAACCGGUACUAAUGAACCGUGAGGCUUAACCUU